rnacentral:rRNA from 1 species
GUAGUCAUAUGCUUGUCUCAAAGAUUAAGCCAUGCAUGUCUAAGUACUUGCUUUAACAAGGCGAAACCGCGGAUGGCUCAUUAGAUCAGUUAUGGUUCACUAGAUCGUAUAUCCUACACGGAUAACUGAGGUAAUUCUUCAGCUAAUACGUGCUACAAGCUCGUUCUCCUGUGGAGCGAGCGCAGUUAUUAGAACAAAACCAAUCCGGCUUUCGGGUCGGUUAAAAUGGUGACUCUGAAUAACCGAAGCGGAGCGUAUGGUCUCGUACCGACGCCAGAUCUUUCAAUUGACUGCUCUAUCAGCUUGUUGUUAGGUUAUGCCCCUAACAAGGCUUCAACGGGUAACGGGGAAU